rnacentral:piRNA from 2 species
UUUUGGCUAAGAUCAAGUGUAGU